rnacentral:lncRNA from 1 species
AAAAUUAUGAUGAAACUUCAAUCCGUAAAAUGAUAAAAUUAUUCAAAAUUUAAAAUAAUUAUAAUUAAAUUAAAUUUUUAAUCAAUAUAUAAUUAUAUUUUUUAAGUGCUAUUUUUAAUUAUAUCAAUUGUAUUUUUAAAUUUUAAAUUUAUUUUUUAAAUUAGAAUUAAUUGAAUCGACUCUAAAAUAAAUAAGUAUGGUUCACAAUUUGUUUUUAAUCAUUUUCCACAACAGAAUAACCAC